rnacentral:lncRNA from 1 species
GAGAGAGAGAAAGAGAGCGAGAGAGAGAGAGAUAGAGAAAGAGAGAGAGAGCGAGAGAGAAAGAGAGAGAGAGAGAGAGAGAGAGAGAGAGAGAGAGAGUGUGUGUGUGUGUGUCGCAUGCUCCAUGGUGAUUAAUAGGUUAAAGGUUCAGUGUUGAGCUGUAACUUGUUCCGUCAUCGAUGGACUUUGUCACUUUGGCUCCAUGUCAAUCGGAGGAAUUGGAAUUUCCUUGGGAUAGAGGAUUGUGUGUCAUCAUAGUGUUUGUGUGUCAUCAGAUAUCCAUUGAUAUAUUGUAAGCAAACUUGUAUUUAGCCUUGUAUAUGGCCUCGUUAUUGUGUUUAUUGUGUUACUAUUUCCUUUUUACUUAGCAAAUAUUUGUCUUACGUUUUUAACUCUGUAUUGUUGUGAAUGGGCUCAUAAGUAAGCAUUUCACUGUAAAGUCUACACCUGUUGUAUUCUGCGAAUGUAACCAAUACACUUGGUCACAGGUAGCCUAGUGGUUAGAGCAUUGUGCCUGUAACCGAAAGGUUGCUGGAUCGAAUCCUCUAGCUGACAAGGUAAAAAUCUGUCGUUCUGCCCCUGAACAAGGCAGUUAGCCCACUGCACCCCGGUAGGCCGUCAUUAUAAAUAAGAAUUUGUUCUUAACUGACUUGCCUAGUUAAAUAAAGGUUUAAAAAAAUGGGGCUCUAAAGUGGUGCAGCGGUCUAAGGCACUGCAUCUCAGUGCUAGAGGCGUCACUACAGACUCUGGUUUGAUUCCAGGCUGUUUCACAACCGGCAGUGAUUGGGAGAACCAUAGGGGACACACAAUUGGCUCACUGUUAUCCGGGUUUGGCCGGGGUAUGCCGUCAUCGUAAAUAAGAAUUUGUUCUUAACUGACUUGCUUAGUUAAAUGAAGGUUAAAUAAAAUGAAACAUUUUUAAAUUGAUUUGAACUUCAAGUUUUCCAUGCUGGAUUAGUGAGCUCCACAGAACUUGUUCAUUUAUUAGUGGGACAACCAUGCAGACCCCUGGGCUUGAGUUCUAGCUGAAAUGCCGGUGGUAGCUGGUCCGCUGCAGGAAAAUUAGGUAUGGGAGGUCCCUCCACCCCCCCUGGACAUCGGGGGGCCCCCGGUGUACACAGUCCGGUUGGACCCAGCGCUCAUCCGGGAGUUUCACAGCCUCCAUCCGGAUCGCCCUGCGCCUCGCCCUCCGGGCGUCCUCGAGGCCGGCGUCGGCGCGCUGCGGGAGCCGCGCGUCAGGGGGGGAGUACUGUCACGACACUGACGGAUGGUGGCGCCCCUCCUCGGCCGGGCGGGGCUCGGCGGUCGUCGUCGCCGGCCUACUAGCUGCCAUCGAUCCUUUUUUGUUUCACUUUCUGUUGGUUAGGUCUAGGUAGGCACGCACCUGUUUUGGGUUAGUUAUUAGUAGGGGGGGGUUAUGUGUAGGAUGUCUGUGUUUGUGCGUGAUUAUGUUUCUUGUCCGUUUUGUGUGAUUGAAGAACGUGUGCUGGUUUUCCUCUGCCUGUGGUUGGUUUCUUUGUGUUCACCACCGCAGAAGUAUUGCGUCC